AAAUUCCCCAGUAUUUCUGCAUUGUGUUUUGUUCAGGCCUGUUUAAGACUUUAAUUUGUAUUUUACAUCAGGCAUCUUGUUGGACAGCUAAUUAGUAUUUUUACGUCAGGCAUCUGGUUGGACAGCUAAGGGUUCCUUGGAUAUAUAUAGAGCUGAGCAAGGCAGUUCUUGUUCUUUUUAUCAUGGAUGCCUGUCUGCGUUUGUGACAAAGAUACCAGACAGACAGAUAAAAGACAGUUAAUAUUGGUUGUGACGGAUAGGCAACUCAUAAAUGGAACUUAAUGCUGUAAAAGACUGGAGAGUUCAAUAAACUCCAAAAAACUGUG